GGCUCGGAGAAGUAGUUCAGGAAGAGAGAGAAGAAGGGAUUCAGAGACUUAAAAGGAGAAAAAGAACAGGAGGCGGCCAUUCCCAGAGACCCUGUAUAAACAGACGGACCCGAGGAGGUGGAGGACAGAGACCUCUUCCCAGCCUGGCAGGAGUCUCCCCACUUUGAAUUGGGCCAAAGGGGUCCAGCUUGCUAGGCCUCUGGGGAAGGGUGUCCGUGAGCUACUGGAGAACCUCCCCAAGGGCUCCGCUGGGAAGCACCUGUCCUUCAACAAGAGGAUUUACUCCAAACUUCAGGCCUGGCUUGUUAGAAAGUAGAAGACUGUCUACUCCCCAGGUAUGGAGCACAGGCCACUGAGGCGGGAAGAUGAGAACACUGAGGUACUGAAAGCCAGGAAGAGACAGGAGCUAGACUCAAAUGCUGUUUUUCUGCCUCCGAUCAUUAGAAGCUGAUUUCUCGACAUCAAACUUGGUAGAUGUGGCCCUUGCUUUGCAGGAGUAUCUUGCACACACAUCUAGCUCUUCUCCCACUCUGACAUCCUCUGCUCCAGUGCUAGCAGUUGAGACUCAUAGUGCCCUAACCACGGAAAGCUCCCUGAUGUGUGGCUGGGAAAUAUCUCCUCUGUCCAAGGUGGCCUUCGAGUCCCUGAGG